rnacentral:rRNA from 1 species
UUGAACGCUGGCGGCAUGCCUAACACAUGCAAGUCGAACGGUAACAGGCCUUCGGGCGCUGACGAGUGGCGGACGGGUGAGGAAUGCGUAGGAAUCUGCCCAGUAGCGGGGGACAACUUAGGGAAACUUAAGCUAAUACCGCAUACGCCCUACGGGGGAAAGCAGGGGAUCUUCGGACCUUGCACUAUUGGAUGAGCCUACGUCGGAUUAGCUAGUUGGUAGGGUAACGGCCUACCAAGGCGACGAUCCGUAGCUGGUCUGAGAGGACGAUCAGCCACACUGGGACUGAGACACGGCCCAGACUCCUACGGGAGGCAGCAGUGGGGAAUAUUGGACAAUGGGGGCAACCCUGAUCCAGCAAUGCCGCGUGUGUGAAGAAGGCCUGCGGGUUGUAAAGCACUUUCGGUAGGGACGAAAAGCUGAGUGAUAAUACCAUUCAGUCUUGACUUAACCUAAAGAAGAAGCACCGGCUAACUCCGU